CUUGAACGCUGGCGGCAGGCCUAACACAUGCAAGUCGAACGAAGUGGCGAACGGGUGAGUAAUACGUGGGUAACCUGCCCUCCUUUUUGGGAUAAGCCUUGGAAACGGGGUCUAAUACCGAAUAAAGGGGGUUGGGCUCGCGGCCUAUCAGCGUGUUGGUGGGGUGAUGGCGUACCAAGGCGGUGACGGGUAGCCGGCCGGAGCGGGUGACCGGCAAAAGUGGGACUGAGAGUCGGCCCCGACUCCUAGGGGGGGCAGGAUUGCGGGUUAUUGCACAAGGGGCGAAAGCCUGAUGCAGCGACGCCGCGAGGGGGAUGAUGGUUUUGGGGGUGUAAACUUCUGUCGCUAUAGAACGGGUAGGUGGAGAAGAAGCGCCGGCUAACUACGUGCCAGCAGCCGCGGUAAUAC
rnacentral:rRNA from 1 species